AGAAAGUUUUAAUAUGACAGGUCACGUAAGUUUCUGUCAUUGGGUCAUUAUUUUCGAGACUUUAACGUGUAAUCGACUCCGGCCCUUCCACUCCCUGCAAAUUAUUGUUUUUUCUCUGAAUUAAUCACGAUCCAAUCUAGAUCGUUUACUUUUGUUCUUCAUCUUCUCCAGUUUAGAGUAUACUCAAAACUAAGUUGAUUCCUUCUCUCCAUUGCUCACUAUUUCUCCGAAUCCUUGAACCACCGCAAUGAUGGUCCUAAAACGCUCCAAAUCGUCGAUCUCUGACGGUUUACUUCUACAAAGUUGCCGCCGGUCAAGUCGAUUCAGUUUUGAGAAGCCCAUAAUCCCGCUAAAGUAGGGAUGCUAAUUCGCCUUCAGCUGGUUCUGAUCGACGAAUAGGUAUGACAUAAUCUUCUCAAACCCUUAAAUUUGUUAGUCGCCAAUUUAUGUAACCUAACAUAUAUCACGCAUCCACAUGGCUCCAUUGUUCCUACAGUUCUUCCGGGAAUCCACGCAUUGCUUUUGAACCAGUCAAUCAGAAUCGAAAUGGGUGUUUCAGAAAUGCAUUAGUAGAGUUUUAUUUUGUGCCAGACCUUUCAAGUACUUAUCACCUUUUACCUUUUUCAUGUUUAUGUUCUAAUCACAUUUUUUUUGGAUGGCUUUUCCUAUGUUUCUGAAUUAAGAAGUAUGUGUUGUUUUCAUUUCACGUUGCAGGGUCUCUAAUGCCACAACCCUUUGAGGGUUUCUGUAUCAACUAUAACAAGAGUUUGAUAAACAGGUUUUUUCUUUGGUACAUAUCAUUCAUAUAUGUAUGUCUUUAAUAACCAUGCCUGUCAAUUGAUGGUUCAAACAGGUUCUUGAUGGGACUAACUGAACUCCUUCUUGAACCAUCUCUUACAUUCAAGAUUUUGACUCUAUUUAUGAACCUCAAAACAUGUAAAAGUUUUGUAUUAGUGUUUCUUCUACUCUAUAACCAUAUUUUCUCUGUUUCAUCACUUCAUUUUCUCUGCUAGCUGACGACGGGACAAUAUAACUUGCAAUUUAAGUUAUAUGCUGGAGAUUGUUGACCAACACAAACCAAGAAUUUCGCGGCAGUGGCAUGUGUUGCAUAAGGUACGAAAGCUUCAGAUCUGUCAGGUAUUUUCAGUUUCUGGAUUAUGUGUCCUCUUUUCUUUUUGUAUAAAAUUCUUUGAACCCCAAAUUCAUGUACCACAAGUUUGAAUCCUAUUAUUGCACUUUCCUUCAGAUAUGAUUCUGGGUUUAUAAGCUUUUAAUCGUUGAUUUUCAAAGAAUUUGUGGAAAUUACGUUUUUGUAUAACACAAUUUUGAAUUUUGGGCCAUUCCUUACCCUUCCAUACGUUGAUCUUGAUUUUUAUUUUAUUUCUAUGACUAUUACUUGCUACCAGAAUUUUGGAAGAGUUCCACGGAUAUAAUGAAAGAACUAAGGCCAAUCAAAGAAUCUGGCUCAGCCGAAGAUUUUGAGAAAGAGGCGCUGAUUCAGCGGUUUCGAGGCUGCUCAAGCUCAGGAAAAAAUUAUAACAAUGAAAGUAAGAUCGUACGGAGAUUUAGAACCUCCUCUGCAGCUGAAGAAAUCAUAAGCCGGUUCACUUUUUACACACAGCUCCUCAACAAUGGGAACUUUGUAGACGCUGCUUCUGGUGAGUAAAGUUUUCAUUUAAAAAAAGGCUCUGUUCAGAAUCAGAGAAAUAACAAAGAAAAAGUUUGACUUGAGAUUCAAGUUCCAUGAGAACUAAUGUUUGGUUUUUGAAUUGGUGAUUUAGGUAAGACGUUGCCUACUCUUGAUCCAUGCAUAGGGGGAGUUAUUGCGAACAUAGCUGAAAGUCGAUGCUGAAGAUAUAGACCGGGCGGUGAAAGCCACAAGCCUGCAAGGAAGGCCAUUGAUGAAGGACCAUGGCAAAAGAUAAUUGCUUAUGUAUAUAUAUAAUGUUCUUGGGUCUUGAAAUUAAUAUGAAAUUCAAUGUGAUAUGGACUGAUCUUUGUUUGGUUUUCAGGAACAGCGAAAAGCUUGCAGCUAUAGAGACAUGGGACGAUGGGAAGACUUAUGAACAAGCCAAAACAGCAGAGAUUCCAAUGCUCGCCAGAUUCUUUCGCUAUUAUGCUGGUAUACCAAAAUCUUGAGAAUACUAUCAAAUUUUCAUGCUUUUGUUGGUAAGUUUUGGUUUGAUGUGUAGGAUGGGCAGAUAAGAUUCGUGGGCUAACUAUUCCAGCCGAUGGAAACAAUCAUGUCCAGACACUGCAUGAACCAAUAGGCAUUGCUGGUCAGAACAUUCAAUGGAACUUUUAAUUUAAAGACAUAGUUAUAAUAUUUGUAUUAUAAUUUAAAGAAAUAAAAAUUACUAACAAUUUAAAGUAAACUAAACACUUUGAAAUAUUCAAUAAAAUUUAUUAUAUUUUAUAUACUUCGUUCAGUUACUAACCCGCCCGUAGGGCGAGCCAAUCCCUAGUUUAUCUUAAGAGACAGCCUAAGAGCAUGUUAAGAGACAGCCUAAGAGCAUGAUUAUUGCAAAGACUCAUAUUAGGGAUUCUUAUUACUUUUUAAUGCAUUUAAUAACAAAAAAUGAAAUAAGAGAUAAUGCUAAUAAAUCCACACAUUUUAGUGGU